rnacentral:lncRNA from 1 species
UUUAUUUUACUUUCUUCCUACUUUCCAAACAUAGCUUAACAUUAAAUCGAGGGACCUUUUAUCAAUACCGAGAUCAAGCAACAACCACCUGAACCAAACCAAAUGGAAACAUUAAUGAUCAAUUCAAGUUUUGAUAGGACUCUCUUCAUAUGCUUAAUCAUUCGUUAAUGGAACCGAAACCUCUGUAGCCGCUACUUAAGGCAGAGAAGCCUCAAGCCUGUACCUUUCAUGGAUGGGAUUGGAAAUGACAAGACACAGACAAGUCCA